GCUGGAGAGAAUGAGCUUGGAGCCGCAGGGCUUAAUCCCGCGCGGCUCAGAGAUGGGUUUCUGGACUCGCGAAGCAGCUGCAACAAGGCAUCACUCACUGUAUAAGUAUUUCCAUUUCUGAGAGCAAAAGGAAGAACUUAAGCGGGCGGCACUUGGAGUGUAAAUUGCUUUGUAGUAUUUAAAGGCAGAAUGGAUCCUGGGCAGCCGAGCUGAUCAUGAGGUUCCUGAGGCCUCCUAGCCAUGCUUCCUGUGCAGCCUAUGGAACUGAUCACUGUUGUAUUUUUAAACCUUAUUCCUGGAAGCACUACGGAUAUCAGAUCAAUUUAGAAAGCCAAAGAGUACCUCUGGGAAUGAAAUGGUAGUAAUAGAAACAAUAUUUGGCCAAACUAUCGCUGUAUGCCAAUGAUGCCAAAAAUCACAGUAACCUGGCAGCAACAAACCGGCAGGACUUCCUGUGAAAUCAUGACCACCAUGUGCUCUUUCAGCCUCUAUCAGUUCCUACCUCUAAGCACCUGAGAGCCAAAGCAAACCACAGGAAACCACAGACUCAAACUAAACGUCAGCUUUUCCCGGCUCUCAAGCCUGCUGGUCCCUGAACUAAAACUCACAUUAUCAACUCUACUGGUU
rnacentral:lncRNA from 10 species